UUCUUAUCCAGAGAGGUGGAGGGACUGGCCCUUUGAAGCCUCGGCAACAGACUUUACAGAGAACUGUGCCAAUUCCAGGAGCAUCAUGCUUGUAGAUAAGAA
rfam:Bacilli bacterium VT-13-104 contig068, whole genome shotgun sequence.